rnacentral:rRNA from 1 species
UACGGGGGGGGCAAGCGUUGUUCGGAAUUACUGGGCGUAAAGGGCUCGUAGGUGGCCAACUAAGUCAGACGUGAAAUCCCUCGGCUUAACCGGGGAACUGCGUCUGAUACUGGAUGGCUGGAGUAUGGGAGAGGGAUGCGGAAUUCCAGGUGUAGCGGUGAAAAUGCGUAGAUAUCUGGAGGAACACCGGUGGCGAAGGCGGCCCACUGGAUCGGUACUGACGCUGAGGUGCGAAAGCGUGGGGAGCAAACAGG